UACGAAGGGGGCUAGCGUUGCUCGGAAUUACUGGGCGUAAAGGGCGCGUAGGCGGACAGUUAAGUCGGGGGUGAAAGCCCGGGGCUCAACCUCGGAAUUGCCUUCGAUACUGGCUGUCUUGAGUGCGGGAGAGGUGUGUGGAACUCCGAGUGUAGAGGUGAAAUGCGUAGAUAUCGGGAGGAACACCUGUGGCGAAAGCGGCUCACUGGACCGCAACUGACGCUGAGGCGCGAAAGCUAGGGGAGCAAACAGG
rnacentral:rRNA from 1 species